rnacentral:rRNA from 1 species
ACCUACGGGAGGCAGCAGUAGGGAAUUUUCGUCAAUGGGCGCAAGCCUGAACGAGCAAUGCCGCGUGAACGAGGAAGGUCUUCGGAUCGUAAAGUUCUGUUGAAGGGGAAAAAGAGCGGAGAGAGGAAAUGGUCUCCGAUUGAUAUUACCCUUCGAGGAAGUCACGGCUAACUACGUGCCAGCAGCCGCGGUAAUACGUAGGUGGCGAGCGUUAUCCGGAAUGAUUGGGCGUAAAGGGUGCGUAGGCGGCCGGCUAAGUCUGGAGUGAAAGGUACAGGCUCAACCGGUACAGGCUAUGGAAACUG